rnacentral:lncRNA from 12 species
AGAUUAAAUUUGUAUCUGGAAAUCUCUUUCUAAGGUUCUCCUCUGAAAACAAGUCUGAGAUUAGCAAUGGUUCUUCUUAUGCCCUGGGCACUAAAGCCUGUGACACUAAUGGCAUUAAUAUAAUUUUCUGAACAACAUGCAGGAGGCAACAUGGUCCUUCUGGUAGGAUGAACAUCAGUCCAAUAAGAAGGUGACAUAUUGCCCGUUACCCUGUAAAUAGAACGGGCCACAUCAAUUUCUCUUCUGCCUGUGAAUGAUGACCAGUUUAUCAACUCAGAGAAGCCACACAAAACUGCAAGGACCCCAGACGAGAACUAGGAGACAUGAAAUGGUGGGAGCAUAAAGCUUGGGCUACCCAGGAUGGUGACAGAUCCCAAAGAUGAAUUUCAUUGUGUUGAACAUGGCCCAUUGCAUUUAAAAUGAGAGCCAAGAAGAAACCACCCCUCACUGAUGGAGUUUAUCCUAACGGAAAGAGUUGGUGGGGAGAUGCUGAGGUGAGCAUUGCUUGUGCUUCAAAUGUCCGCCAUAAGGUUAUUGGUUAAGAAGGUGUUGGGACAUCCAUGCCAUAUAAUGAUGCACAGCCAUAAAAAUUGUGUUAUGGAACAUGUAAUGGGAAUAUUAUUCAAUGUAAC